GUCCGUUUUAGAGCAAUAGGGUCAAAACCAUUGCAAUCAGCCUGAUUUCUUAUCCUUUCGGAUUCAGUCUAUCAAAGCAAGGUAUUUAUCAGCUAAGACAUCUACACCAUCCUCUUCAGGUUGGAAAGAACUCAUCCUUAAAUUAGAAUUCUCUUCUUCCUCUGACAAAUCACCUGCAUAGAGAACCAAUUGCUUCAUAUU
rnacentral:lncRNA from 1 species